UCCGCUUGGCCCAGGCGUAACCUUCCAAGUCCCUGUUUGAUUUACCACUGUGUCGCCCAGAACAGAUGGCAGGCGAGCUCGCGGGGAGGGGGCACCAACCGGAGGUGGGGCUGCAGGCGCUGGGAGGCCCGGCCGCCCCCACGAAGACUCGCCGGGUCUUCCCUUCCUCUGCCUCCUCCCGCCAACAGGCCAGUCAGGGAGUUUCCCAGAGCACAGAAAUGAAAAUACCUGAGACACGCCAGACAGGAAAAGGUGGGAGUGACCAUCGGUUAUCUGCAGUGGCUGUGAUGAACUGGAUGAGCCAGUAAGCAGUGGCAAAGACCAGCCUGAAGCCUCAACCACCACGCCCCCUGGGCCCUAAGGGACGAUGGCGCUGACCUCGUCCGACCCUCCUGACUCCGAUCAAAUAAAGCUGGGGCUCUGUGGGAAGACACUGCUUUGGGAAAGAAGCCCCGUGUUCUCCUUACGUGCUGCAAGUAAUAAUAAAUCCUUCCUUCUCCCGAU